rnacentral:lncRNA from 1 species
CACCAAAUGAACAAGAAUAACCGGAUAUGUCUAAUUUGGGAACAGAAAUUAAAUUCCGUCUAAAAGAGGGUACAACAAAAGUCUCAUUCAAAUCAAAAUAAAAACCAGUCUUAAACAAUAGCCUAAAAUUUCCAAUAGCCUCAACUUCAACACUUUUGCCGUCACCCACAUAGAUGUAUCUUUCACCAUCACUUGGUUUUCGGCAGUUCAGGC